GGCUGCGAGUUGACUGAAGCAGAAACGUUCAGAUAGAUAGAGAUGACUUGUUUCCUGACCAAAGUCUGUACGGCCAGUCAGAUAUCAAAUACUCCAAUUGUAACCAAUGGAGUUAUCUGUCAGUAUAUUAUUUUGACAGGCAAAAGCCAUAAAUAAUUUUUUACCCGAAAAGGUCCCUAGUCUCUGCACAUGGAGCUAAAACCAUAGCGAACAACAGGAUAACUACUUAACCCCAUGAAGCCCUAAAAAAGAAAAAAACUACUCUCUCCGUCUAACAAAAGAUGUCUCA
rnacentral:lncRNA from 1 species